rnacentral:misc_RNA from 1 species
CUUUAUACUGUUCAAUCUCACAUCUUCACUCAGUUUCAAGUGAAACACAGUUCCACCAUCUUAGAAUAUAUAAUUUUCUUACCAACAAAUGCAUAGUACACUAAUUCCUAGAAUCCAAGCACUUGCACACUACCGUACCAAAAUUUAUAUUUCAAAAUAUGAAAACAAACUAGGUAGCCAUAAAUAAUUGUCUUUCCUCUACAGAUACAGUGGCAGCAGCAUCAACACUGUAGAGACAUUUCCACCAGGACAUGCAAAGCAAAUGGCGUUCUGACAUCCUUACACUAACACGCUAAGUUGAAACUAUAAAGAUCCUACAUUAAUUGAGGCAAAUACAUAAACUCCAUCAAGCAAAAGUUAAAUACCAUUAACUUGAAAAAAUCAGUUACAAAGCUCCCAGAUCCAUACUAUUGUCUGUAGCCACCAUGAAUCCAAUCACUACAUUGAAGGUGUAAACUCUAGAAAUCCAGGUUAAAUUCAUGUAGCGAUCAUAUUGAACUGGAAUCUGGAAAGCUGUUGAGGAAUGGUGGAUAUAACAGGUCCAUAUCUCUGCCACCAAGCAAUUUAUGUGUUACAAAAAUAAAUUUUGAAAAAUAGAAUAUUAUUUCUUUUUUAUUAAACUGACUAGAUCUGGGGGACAAAGAUCAUGUACGCCAUCUUAAAAGAAGCAACUAGGGUUAACUGGGUAAGCGAUUGAAGCAAAAAUCAGCAGUUGAGGAAUCAAGGAUGAAGCAAUCCACUGCACAGUUAGAGAUGCUUUUCAUGAAAAAAAGGGGCUAAGGAUAAAAGAAAAUGAUUCAGCCACUUUAACUUUCAUGUGCAUUGAGUUGUCAACUGUUUGAUCAGAAAAAGGAUUCCAAUCGAAUGGCCGAUAAUUUGUGUGCAUGGAAACACAUGCACUGAAUCAGUUUCCAAAGAAAAAUAACAAAGAACCCUAUGCAGUGGUUUGUACAGGUUGAAUACUUAUUCACUAGUUACCCUUUACCUGACUUUGAAAAAUAUUCAAUUCUUAACUCAUCAAGUAUGUAAAGCCAAUCCAGUAUUUAAAACUGUGAAACAGCAAAUAAAUAUUCAAAGUUAGCGGACCAUCCAGCAUGGCCAUACCUGCACAUUGUCAUAGAGUUCAAACAAUGGAACAGCAAGAAGUUUUAAAUUUUUGGGUACAGCAAAGUACUCUCUUUCAGAUAAGUGAACAAGGAAAAGCUUCUUGCACUCCUUAGGCUUUGUUAUGUGGGGUGGGCAAUAUGGAUACAUGAUGGUCUCAAAGUUUGGCCUCCACCAAAUGGCCACACAUUCACCAAUCUGCCAAUCUGGCACCAGAGCAGCAGAAUUAGCACCAAGUUUGCUGGUCAGUUUUCUUUUCAAACCCUCAAUUUCAUUCUCUCCUGGCUUUAGACGUCCACCUGGCAGUUUGCAGAAUGUGUUUCCAAUUUGCAGAAGAAGUAUGUGAGGAUGAUUAUGCUCCUGUACCAGCAAAAUUGCUUCGACACUUGUUCUCAUCCCUUCUUUCAUAUAGUUGACUUUCAUACGAGCAAGACGAUCAGCUACGGAGGUAUCUUUCUCCAUUUUUGGCUCUUUAGUGCCGAAUGUGUAGCUCGACAGAGGAUAGGUGUUCACCACCGAUGAGUUCACCAUCUUUUUCUUUUUCUCCGCCUCUGCCCCGUAACCAGAUUAAAGCUUUAGUGAUCUAUCUUCUCUCUCUCUAAAUUGGAGAGUCCCUCCAGGUAAGAUUUUCAGCAGCAAGAGCCAGAACAAAAACAGGGCGAGAACACGGAGGCAUUAGGGAUUUAAACCCGGUGGUCCGCCAAUUACUUCUUAUUGGAUCUUUCUCGACUAACAGGAGUUCUAAAAAAUUUCCGAAACCGCCUCGCUAUUGACCGUCCGAUCUGAAUGAAGUUAGGAAUUAAGCUUGAAUGUACGAUGAUAAAG